UGGGGAAUAUUGGACAAUGGGCGCAAGCCUGAUCCAGCCAUGCCGCGUGAGUGAUGAAGGCCCUAGGGUUGUAAAGCUCUUUCACCGGUGAAGAUAAUGACGGUAACCGGAGAAGAAGCCCCGGCUAAUUUCGUGCCAGCAGCCGCGGUAAUACGAAGGGGGCUAGCGUUGUUCGGAUUUACUGGGCGUAAAGCGCACGUAGGCGGACUUUUAAGUCAGGGGUGAAAUCCCGGGGCUCAACCCCGGAACUGCCUUUGAUACUGGUAGUCUUGAGUUCGAGAGAGGUGAGUGGAAUUCCGAGUGUAGAGGUGAAAUUCGUAGAUAUUCGGAGGAACACCAGUGGCGAAGGCGGCUCACUGGCUCGAUACUGACGCUGAGGUGCGAAAGCGUGGGGAGCAAACAGG
rnacentral:rRNA from 1 species